UGCUCAGGUGACAUCUGUCAUUUGCAUUGAGGAUGGAGUAGCUAUACCCAAUACAGAAAAGACUUUGCCCUUUGGUGGAGAGGUAUGGAUUCUGUUUACAUGUUUCAAUUCAUUACUAAGCCACUGAACCUGUUUCUGAGCUUCAUUAUGCAAGGAAAUUGCUGCAACUUAAAUUCAUCUAUUGCCUAAUGGAUUUUUUUUUUAAUGUUUUCCUCAAAAGCCAAACAUUUAUGUUCAUGAAUUUUACAUAUUGUCAAUAAAAAAUUUUAUAAAAUGUGUAGCAGAAGAUAAAAUGGACCCUUUGAUUGAGAACUAUAACAUGAAAUAACAAAUGGAAUAAACUAAUUUACCUGAUUCUAAAUUACCCAUGGCAGGGUGGAAAGCAUAGUUGAUAAUAGAAUGUAAUGUAAUGGCUGUUAAAUACAGUUUUGAAGGGGGCCUUUACCGUUGUAUAAAUGAAAUAACAGAGGUUAAAAUUUUGUAGGUGUAGCAGCUGUUGCGUCCAUUACGUAAUGUUAAUGGAGAUUAAGUAAUGAGUAACGGCCGUUGCUCAUGUGCCUUUUUAUUUUGGAGCAGAGGGGCAUAGAGUUUAUUUCUUUCUAGUUUCUAGGAUUCCUCUUUUGUUUCUCUCAACUUUCCAACUCAAAUUUUUCAUCUCCUAUAAAUCUUCAUUUCUUGAGCUAA
rnacentral:misc_RNA from 1 species